GGUCGGUUAGCUCAGUUGGUUAGAGCGUCGUACUAAUAUCUCCUCUGGACAUAUGAAGUAAAGAAUAUGCGAAGGUCGGGAGUUCAAGCCUCCCACUGACCA
rnacentral:tRNA from 1 species